CUGGGAUUUUUGUGAGGGUGGGGCCAUGUCUCCCCUCAGACCGGGGCUCCCUGAGGAUGGGCGGUGUCAGUGUCUCCCCUCAGACUGGGGCUUCUCAAGUCAGGGACCUUGAAAAGCAAUAGAUUGGGCACUGUUCUCCUCCCAUCAUCCCUUUUGGUGCCAAGGCCAAGGCUCUGUGGAGACUCGUAAUUCACACCCCCUCCCCAAGUCUGGGUGCCUGCACCCCUGAGGCCCUUUGCCUGACAGAAAGGGAGGCUGAAGGCCUGUAGCUGACACCAGCACCAGUGGUGGGGCCAUUGCAUAAGAGCAGCCAGGCUGCAGGUUUCUGAUGACUCAGCACUGUGGCCUGCACAGGACUUCUGUGGGGCUGGACUCAGGACAGGGCUCCUCAGAAUCAAGGCACAGGAGGCCCAAGGAGCCCAGCUUACCUGGGGACCCUACACCGUAGCCCUGACACACUAUGAAGGGGACACACUUCCUGGGCCCCUCCUGGCUGCCCCAGGUGUGGCUUCGCAGAGCACCUGGGCCUGAGGGCAGGUGCCUGGGCCUGGGUAGGGGUUCCUGCCUGGUGUGGGGCCAGGAGAGCCACCUUGCCUUCAAGAGCCCAUUGCUGAGGCUGCAGAUUCCUCGAGCAGACUUGUGGCCUGGGAGGAGAGAGGGCUGGUGGGCAGGGAAGGGACCCCGAGGGCCAGCCUGGGCCUGGGGGGUCAGCUUGGCAGUUCCUUUUCCAAACCACUAGAUGUCACUUCCAUUUCAAAGGAACCCAUGGGUUGGAAUUAGCCCCAGUCAGGUCCCCUCAUCCUUCUCCAAGUCUUAAAGACAGACAGGCCAAAGAGAAAACUCCACUUUCCCUUGAGGACUGAGACACUGAAAACCUGGCUAGGAGCUGCCUCCAAGCCUGAGCUGAAGCUUCCAGGAAGUCCAUAACACCCCACCCCACCUCUGCAAAGGGCCAGAAGGGGCAGAACUCCCAUCUCCCCAUCCCCCAGUGACCCUAUGUUAUUAUGGGGAUAUUUUCUGAAACCAAAAAUGAAACGCAUGGUCAAACUAAUAUGAUGUAUUUAGGGGGACAAUACUUAAAACAGCAGAUGCAUACCCCCAAAGGUCCUCCUCAGGGCCAAGAGAUUCCAGGUUCAGCAGGGGCCAUGUUGCCCAUCCCCCUAGCUUCAGAUGCCGUCAGAAACUUCUGGGGAGGGGAGACCUAAAGGGAGGUUCUCGAGACUGUGCUUUUCUCCACCCACAUCCACAAUAUUCAGUCAACAUCUCUUGGUUGGCAGUGCCAAUUAUUACAACUUACAAAGCAUUUUAUUCCACUUAAGUCUCCAACAACCUCCAUGAGAGGCAGGACGGAAGCUCAGAGAAGAGGGGGCCACGUGCCCAGUCACCCAGCUCCAAAGUUAGCAGAACCAGGACUAAAACCCAAGACUUUGGAGUUCUCAAGCAAACGUUCUGGCCUCUGAGGAUAAGGCCUCUGAGACAAGGAUUAAUUAACCAUCGGGGACUGCGUAAAGACUUCCCCAAAGCUAGAAAGCCUCCAGCUGCCGCUCCCACCAUCCACCUCUCUCCUCUGUGGACCCAAGGCUCACCCUCCCCCGCUGUCUGAUCACACACGCACACGCUGUCACACUCACACCGCUCCUUGCUCCUCCUGUCCCCAAGCUGGAAUGCCUUCCUCCUCCCAUAUCCAUUCUCCAGGAUCCCCCAGGCCUUGCCUCCCUGGCGAGUCUGCAGGGCCCAGAGGGUCGCACGUUGUCCGUGCUUACUGACCCC
ensembl:lncRNA